rnacentral:rRNA from 1 species
ACGCUGUCCAAGGAUAGCUCGCCUUGGCGGCGGUAGGAGAGCGUCGUGCGACGGGGCGAAGCCGUGCGGGAAACCGGCGGUGGACUUCGCACGAGCGAUUAUGCGGACAUGAGUAACGUAAAACCCGAUGGAAAUUCGGGUCGCCGGAAUCCCAAGGUUUCCCGGGGCAGGUUCGUCCGCCCGGGGUUAGUCGGCACCUAAGACGAGGCCGAAGGGCGUAGUCGAUGGACGGCAGGUCAACAUUCCUGCACCGGCGGGGGUUUGAGCGUGGUUCGGAGAAGGACAGUGGAGGGGGGUCAAUGGCUAUCCCCCGCACGGCCGGGAACGGCCGGGCGCCGGAGGGGUUCGCCCCGACGGCCCCAUGCGUCCCCGCUUCCAAGAAAAGACCACGCGUAUUAACCCGUCGGCCGUACCAAAACCGACACAGGUGGGAUGGUACAAGGAUACCAAGGCGCGCGGGAGAAACCUCGUUAAGGAACUCGGCAACAUGACCCCGUAACUUCGGGAGAAGGGGUCCUCCGGGGCAAUGCCCGGAGGCGCAGCGAAACGGCCCAUGCGACUGUUUAACAAAAACACAGCACUCUGCCAACCCGUGAAGGGGAAGUAUAGGGUGUGACACGUGACCAAUGCGGAAAGGUCAAGGCGAGGAGUCAGCGCAAGCGAAGCCCCGAACCAAAGCCCCCGUGAAUGUCGGCCGUAACUAUAACGGUCCUAAGGUAGCGAAAUUCCUUGUCGGGCAAGUUCCGACCUGCACGAAUCGUGUAACGAUAUGGGCGCUGUCUCAACGAGGAUCUCGGUGAAGUUGUAGUGCCGGUGAAAAUGCCGGAUACCCGCAGAAGGACGGAAAGACCCCAUGAACCUUUACUGUAGCCUGGUACUGGGUUCUGGUCGGAUGCAUGUAGCAUAGCCGGGAGGCUUGGAAGGGCGCUCGUCAGGGCGCCCGGAGCCGCAACGUGAAAUACCGGUUCCAUCCGGGCGGAGUUCUAACCCCAUCCCGUCAUCCGGGAGGGGGACAAUGCCAGGGGGUCAGUUUGACUGGGGCGGUUUCCUCCCAAACAGUAACGGAGGAGUUCGAAGAUCGGCUCAGCACGGUCGGCAAUCGUGCGUCGAGCGCAAGGGUAGAAGCCGGUCUGACUGCGACACCGACAGGUGGGGCAGACGCGAAAGCGGGACCUAGUGAUCCGGCGCUUCCUCGUGGAAGGGGCGUCGCUCAACGGAUAAAAGGUACUCUGGGGAUAACAGGCUGAUCGCGGCCGAGAGUUCACAUCGACGCCGCGGUUUGGCACCUCGAUGUCGGCUCUUCGCAUCCUGGGGCUGGAGAAGGUCCCAAGGGUUUGGCUGUUCGCCAAUUAAAGCGGAACGCGAGCUGGGUUCAAAACGUCGUGAGACAGUUUGGUCCUUAUCCUCUGUGGGCGCAGGUGGUUUGACGGGAGCAUUCCCUAGUACGAGAGGACCGGGAAUGACGGGCCCAUGGUGUUCCGGUUGUCGCGCCAGCGGCAUGCCGGGUAGCUAUGCCCGGAACGGAUAAGCGCUGAAGGCAUCUAAGCGCCAAGCCUCCCCGAAGACGAGACCACCCGCCAGAAAUGGCCUCAAGCGCGGUCGUAGACGACGACCUCGAUAGGCCGCAGGUGCAGGCGCGGCGACGCGUUGAGCCGAGCGGUACUAAUCGCGCGUGCGGCUUGGCU